ensembl:snRNA U6 U6 spliceosomal RNA
GUACUCACUGUGAUAGCACACAUACUAAAACUGGAACAACAGAGAAAAGAUUAGCAGAGCCCCUGCACAAAAAUGACAAGUAAAUUCAUGAAGGAUUCCGUAUUUUU